AGCGAACGCUGGCGGCAUGCUUAACACAUGCAAGUCGCACGAAGGUUUCGGCCUUAGUGGCGGACGGGUGAGUAACGCGUAGGAAUCUAUCCAUGGGUGGGGGAUAACACUGGGAAACUGGUGCUAAUACCGCAUGAUACCUGAGGGUCAAAGGCGCAAGUCGCCUGUGGAGGAGCCUGCGUUCGAUUAGCUAGUUGGGUGGGUAAAGGCCUACCAAGGCGAUGAUCGAUAGCUGGUUUGAGAGGAUGAUCAGCCACACUGGGACUGAGACACUGCCUAAAAUCCUACGGGAGGCAUCAGUGGAGAAUAUUGGACAAUGGGGGCAACCCUGAACCAGCAAUGCCGCGUGUGUGAAGAAGGUCUUCGGAUUGUAAAGCACUUUCGACGGUGACGAUGAUGACGGUACCCGUAGAAGAAGCCCCGGCUAACUUCGUGCCAGCCGCCGCGGUAA
rnacentral:rRNA from 1 species